rnacentral:miRNA from 1 species
AUGGAAUCUCUCCCUCUGGUCU